rnacentral:antisense_RNA from 1 species
CUUGACGGAGCCGAGCCACAGCGGCCGAUCCCGGUCCUGGCCGUAGGUGGCGAGGAUGGCCUGGGCCUC